GAUGGUCUCAUUUCUGAAUGUGCAAAUCGGAUUCAACUUAAUUGUAUUGUUCUUGUACAUAACAGUUAUGUGGUAGACCUAUUCUCGAUUGUUCAGGGCACAGUUUCCCGAUAGUGAUGUAAUUUAGGUUUACAAGUGUUUUAAAGAUGUAUCUUCCCUACAACGGCCGAAGAUCACAAAACACCAUGAGAACGGUCUCUAAAUGCUUGUGCAUGCUUCGGUUAGGCUGGGCCACCCAAUUAGACUACAAUCAAGUAGGGCCGCUAGAAACGAAUCAGUUGGAUGGGCCUUUGAUUUCCAUAGGUGGACACGUUUUUUCACGAGACCUCGGGUGUUAAUAUUAAAGACCACAUGCAGCUCGGAUGCCACAGAGACCUCUGGCUCUGAGCAAGACAGUGAGCCAGAGCUGCCAGGAGAUGUCAUCGAGCCCCUUGCAACUGCGUCAAGCACCAGAUAUGCUGUUCCAAAAGGACCCAAUGACAUUUCAAGAUCCAGAGAAGAGGGUCCUGUACAGUCGUGUUUGAAAACAUUUCCCAGAACUCAGCAUGGUACUACUAGGAAAAGGGCUUUCAACAGCUCCUGGUAUAAGGACAAUUCAUGGCCUGAAUAUUUUGUAAAUCAAGAUUUAACUUAUUGUUUCGCCUGUAGGCAUUUGUCUCUGCCCAAUACACCUGAAUCUGCCUUCACAUUACAGUCAGGUUUUUGUAACUGGAAAAAGGUCACGUUUAAAGAUUCUGGGUUUAAGCUCCAUUCGAAGGCAGAGAAUCACUGCAAAAUAAGUAUACAACAGUGUGUAAAAUACAGCCUAAAACAAGCUUAAGAUUUUACAAAUCAUUGGUGAUGAGCACUGUAGGACAGAAAAAUAGUGACCAAAGUGAUGGUGAGAGCUUCCAACGAGCUCUCUUUUAUCAGGUGCUUGACAGUCUCACAGCUGAGCUGCAGAGACGUUUUUCAAAGAAGAAUUGCGAGAUAAUGCAAGGGGUCCAGUCUCACAACCCAAAGAGUACAACAUUCUUGAAUGAUGAGCCUCUGUUUGCCUUUGCUCAGACCUUUGAGUCAGAUUUAGAGGACCUCAAACAUGAGGUUCAUCACACCAAGCGGCUUCUUGAUAGGAGAGAGAAAAGUGGAAGGGACAGACUGUCUACUCUUCUUUACUUUGUUGUGUUUCUAGAACCUUAUAAAGAGGUCUUCCAUGGGCUAUUUCGACUUUGUAAGAUUUCUGUUGUUUACACCAGUCAGCAGUGCUUAUUGCGAGAGAAGCUUCUUAGCAUUAAAACGGAUUAAAACCCACCUUAAGACAACAAUGGUUGAUGACAGGUUAAGUCACCUCGGAAUUCUCAGUGUUGAGUCAAGGCGGGCAUGCUCCCUCAACAUGUUUGUGAAACAUUUAGCCAGUUCUCACCAGAACUGCAGAAUUAUGCUGUUUUAAAUCUACCUAGGAUAAUUUGGCACUUAGGCGGUCCCUCUGGUCAUGAUUAAAACCCGCACUGUGUACUAUCUAGUACACUGACAUUUUAAAAUGAUAAAUUCCAAAGGUAGCAUGUCACAGAUUUCAUUUGGUCUUGAUUAGCCCAAUUCCAAAACUUUUCUUUGCUAUUAGUAAACAUAAUAUAUAUGAGCAUUAAAUAUGAUACUGUAAGUUUGUAAUAUUGAUGGACACCAAAAUUAUUUUAAUUUUCAAGUCCAUUUCUGAUGGAUACCUGUUAUGUCAAAUUGCAGUGUUAAAAAAAUAAAGUAAAUUAACUAUGGAAUUUAUGUAACACACAAAUGCUAUCUUAUCUCCUUGGGGCUUGAGCUUUAUUUUCUGAAAAUAUUUUGAUGUUGAACACGUAGACACAGAUUAUAUAUUCAUGAAAACAGUGACUCAAGUCUCUGCAGUAUGUGAGUACAGUACGUGUGCGUGUGCAUGUGUGUGUGAGAGAGAAAGAAAGAAAUUGAGCUGCAGUUCUGAGGUAGAGACACGGACUAUUCAUAGUAUGUUAAAGAAUUCUAGUGAAGUGACCCUUUUGGACCACACGAUCUGCCACAUUGAAGAACUCCGGGGUUAAGUGAAUUAUCACUUCUACCUCUAAUCAGCAAUCAUAGGAUUCAUUCAUGCUUGUUAGAUGCCAGGUUAGGGUUACACACACAUUUUCUGUCCUGGUCUCCCUGAACUAGCCUUGGCCACCCCAUGUAUAAAAUUCUAGUUUCACCACUGCUCCCAAAUAGGCAUAGGCCAACACACUUGGGAUUUGAAACAAUCCACAGCUAUGAAAAAAGAAGCUAUGAUCGCGGGUGAAUUAUUUUGAAGGAGGAUUAUUUUGAAGAAGGAUUUUAUUUAGACAGGAGUAAUUAUAUAAUUUUGGCAAAACAUCAAAUUACUUUAGGGGAGUCCAGCAUUCUAACAGUGCACUGUGCAUCCGCUAACUUUCCUUUCCAAUUCGCAAGAGGCUGAAACCAUAGAUCUGUAUAUAAUGACGAGAUACUCAUGUCUCCGCCCUAAUAAUGGGAGUCUUUGUCCAAAAAGCGGGAAGGCCGGCGACAAUUUUAGGUCUGCAUAUUAUGCCCAUAGAGACGCAUUGGGAUUAUUCUGGACAGUUUGG